UACGUAGGGACCGAGCGUUGUCCGGAUUCAUUGGGCGUAAAGAGCUCGUAGGCGGCUUGUCACGUCGGAUGUGAAAGCCCGAGGCUUAACCUCGGGUCUGCAUUCGAUACGGGCUAGCUAGAGUGUGGUAGGGGAGAUCGGAAUUCCUGGUGUAGCGGUGAAAUGCGCAGAUAUCAGGAGGAACACCGGUGGCGAAGGCGGAUCUCUGGGCCAUUACUGACGCUGAGACGCGAAAGCGUGGGGAGCAAACAGG
rnacentral:rRNA from 1 species